rnacentral:lncRNA from 1 species
GCGUUGCUCCUAAGACCUGCUCGCUUGAUUUAACAGCCCUGCAUCACCAGCUCGCCCAUAGGCACGUGCCGCCUCUAUCUGCCACCCCAGCAGAGCUUUCCCAAACUAUGUGGUUCUCUAAAAGUGAACAGGAUGGAUGGUGGGUUGAAGUAGAAACAUACAAGAGAACAGAAGCCUUCAUUUUUAGACAGUCUCUGUAGGAUAGCAGGUCAGUGCCACAUUAGAUGGAUGUGAGUUUUGCAUGUCUUUGUAGGAAAGACAGAAAAGACAGAGAAACAGUGAUAAACAGUAAGAACUUCUUUACAAUGAAAUUUAGCAAUUCAUAAACAGGAUGACAUGCAUAAUUUAAGUUUCAUUGCUGCUGUUUUGUUUUUUUUUUUUCCCCUUUAGCUUCAGAAAAAAAUGUAUUGCUUUUUGGUUGGCAUCCUGACUUAACUGAUGAAAUAUUAGCGGCCCCUGAGAGAAAAUCCAUACACUGAAGGUGACUGUGGGCUCAAUUUCCUACAGAGGAAGAGUGUUGGAUGAAGCAUGGGAGCAGGAAAAUUACUUCACUGCUUCAGAUGCUUCAGACAGUGGAAUAUCUCGGGCUAUCAAAACAGACUACAACAGUCACGAUCAGAAACAUUUUGCUUUUGCAUGUAAGCAAUUAUUUCUAUAAAAUCGUUGAUAUUCGUAGGAUUUAACAGGCAUGUAUGGUGAAUUUAUUUACAUCUUUCCAAUGUUUUAUGCAUUUCUUGUUCCAG